GGGACUCUGAGCCCCACGGAACCAUGCUCACGGUGCCAAGCAUGUGGUCGUGCGCCGAAUAGGCAAACAGGGUUCUAAUGGCCAUUCAGUCUCUUCUGUUUCAGCAUUAAGGUGAUAGGGGUGGGAAACAGCGAGUCUGUCCCUGGGAUAGAUGGAUGUAGAUACAGAGUUAUAGAGGGAUAGGGGUAUUUUACAAAGCAUAUAUAACACCGAGUCAUCCGCGUAAAUCCCCUUUGAACUCAGGAAAGGAAGAGACAGCAAGGAUGCAAGAACACAGAGAAGAGGCCAUGUGAAGACACAGCAAGAAGGGGGCCAUCGGCGAACCAACAGGCCUUAGAGGAAAAAUAACCUUCUGACACAAUGGUCUUGAACUUCCAGCCCCUAGAACUAAUCGUGCUCACUUCUAUUCUGCCAUCCUCCUGGAAUCAGGAAUAAUGGGAUGGGGCAGCAGAGAAGAUAAAGAACAGCCCACAACCAGCAGGUUCUCUGUGCCCUGCCAACGUACGUGGCCACUAUGGGCUUGAAAGUAAUAGCUGUGCUCAUUAGGCAUUACUUGGGGCUUCAUUUUGCAAACGGUGCUCAGCGGAGCCCUGUUUAGCAACAUGUUAAUAGCAUUUCCGGAAAUAAAUAA